rnacentral:tRNA from 1 species
GGUCUGUUCGUCUAGGGGUUAGGACUCCAGGAUUUCGUCCUGGUAACAGGGGUUCGAUUCCCUUACAGACUACUA